ensembl:lncRNA
GAUGGGGGGGCAGGGAGGGAGGGAGAGAGGAGGGGGUAGGGAGGGAGGUGCAGAUUUGCACGGCUGGCCUCAGCGGGAGGCGCGGAAAUGCAAGCCGAGCUUGCUGGCGUGAAAGCCUCCAGGGUCUGGCACCCCCAAAAACGACCUCCCACCUCAAUCCCUUCCCCCAUUGCCCUUGGCCCCCACGGGUUAACCCUCUUCCUUCAUUUCACCCCACCCCGUUACCUACGUGGCCGACCCAAACUGAAAGCAUUUUGUGUAUAUAUAAUUUUUUUUCUUUGCUGCCACUUUUUGGGGGGUCUUCUCCAGGCCCCCAUAAGCGGACCUGCUCGAUGGAGGAGGCAUUUGGGGGCUCAGGAAGAAAUUAGCGCAGCUCCAUACCUGUACGGACUGCACAACUGUUAAACUCCAGGACUCAAUGAUAAGGAUCCACAUACACACAGGUACAGAAAUACAACCAGAGCAGAGCCUUUUCAGACCCGAGCUGACCGGAAGACAUUGCCUUUCAUUCAUUCAUUCUGCCCGCGUCUGUGGAGACCUUUACUAGGCGACAAGCCCUGGAGCAGAAGUUGGACAUUUUUUAAAGGUCCCUGCGCUCGCCAAGAGGAGGAAAUAGAUGCUCAGGAGUGAACUACCGAGAGAAUCGGAUCUGGCGCCUCCUAACGCAGCUGGCAGACAUGCGAAGGGAAAAAAAGACUGGGCCUGUUGUAUUUGAAACAUAACAAUAAUGACUUCCCGGACCCUCUUGCUCAUUCUUAAAAAAGGCCCAGUCAGAUCCUGGCUGUUUUGGCCUAUUCAUUCAUUUCUUCAUUCAUCAAAGGUUGACUGAGCAGAGAAGAUAGCUCCAAUUGUAGACUUCCUCUGGGCUGGGCAGGGGGUGAGCCACCCGCUUCCCAAGGAAUUUAGGAAAGGCUGAUACCCCAGAAUCCAAGAUUUUCCAGCUGUUAGAAACUGAAGCUGCCAUAUUCAUGUAUAAUUAUACUAGCUCCUGAUUUUUGAGAACUUACUUUGUCUCUGAGCAAAGCCUCUCACAUUUGCUCUCUCUCUGAACCUCAUCAAAGUUCUAUGAGGAGGGUUCUGUAAUUGGCCACUUUUAUAGCUCAGUCUCAAAGAGAGGUCAAGUAGGAGUUCCUGUCCUGGUGCAGCAGAAACAAUCCAACUAGGAACCAUGAGGUUUCGGGUUCAAUCCCUGGUCUCACUCAGAGGGUUCAGGAUCCUGUGUUGCCGUGAGCUGUGGUGUGGGUAGCAGACGCGGCGGCUCAGAUCCCGAGUUGCUGUGGCUGUGGUGUAGGCCAGCAGCUAUAGCUCUGAUUAGACCCCUAGCCUGGGAAUCUCCAUAUACCUCAGGACGGCGGCCCUAAAAAUACAAAACAAACAAACAAAAAGAGAGGGGUCAAGUAACUUGCCCACCUUUUAGGGCUAUGAAAUAGCAAAGACAGGAUUUGAACCCAGGGCUUUUAGAGCCCACAGGCUUUACCACUAUGCCUCCCUGCAGGGCUGUCCUUUAGAACAGGAUGGUGGAACUGUUCUGUCUGUGCAAUCUAGUAUAAACAUGCGGCUAUUAAGCAUUUGAAAUGUGGGUCAUGGGAUUAAAGAAAUGAAUAUCG